CCUACGGGUGGCAGCAGUGAGGAAUAUUGGUCAAUGGGCGCGAGCCUGAAGCAGCAAAGUAGCGUGAAGGAAGACUGCCCUACGGGGGGUAAAAUUCGUUUAUAAAGGAAUAAAGUGAGGCACGUGUGCCUUUUUGCAUGGACUUUAUGAAUAAGGAUAGGCUAACUCCGUGCCAGCAGCCGAGGUAAUACGGAGGGUACGAGCGUUAACCGGAUUUAUUGGGUUUCAAGGGAGCGUAGAUGGGUUGUUAAGUCAGUUGUGAAAGUUUGCGGCUCAACCGUAAAAUUGCAAUUGAUGCUGGCAGCCUUGAGUGCAGUUGAGGUAGGCGGAAUUCCUGGUGUAGCGGUGAAAUGCUUAGAUAUCACGAAGAACUCCGAUUGCGAAGGCAGCCUACUAAACUGCCACUGACAUUGAUGCUCGAAAGUGUGGGUAUCAAACAGGAUUAGAUACCCCAGUAGUC
rnacentral:rRNA from 1 species